AUACAUGCAAGUCGAACGCGCGGAUCAGGAGCUUGCUCCUGUGACGCGAGUGGCGGACGGGUGAGUAACACGUAGGCAACCUGCCCAUCAGACCGGGAUAACCACGGGAAACCGUGGCUAAUACCGGAUAAUCCUUUUCCACACAGGUGGGAAAGUUGAAAGGCGGUCUUUUGGCUGUCACUGAUGGAUGGGCCUGCGGCGCAUUAGCUGGUUGGUGGGGUAACGGCCCACCAAGGCGACGAUGCGUAGCCGACCUGAGAGGGUGAUCGGCCACACUGGGACUGAGACACGGCCCAGACUCCUACGGGAGGCAGCAGUAGGGAAUCUUCCGCAAUGGACGAAAGUCUGACGGAGCAACGCCGCGUGAGUGAAGAAGGGUUUCGGCUCGUAAAACUCUGUUGUCAGGGAAGAACGCCGACGGGAGUAACUGCCCGUCGGGUGACGGUACCUGACCAGAAAGCCACGGCUAACUACGUGCCAGCAGCCGCGGUAAUACGUAGGUGGCAAGCGUUAUCCGGAAUUAUUGGGCGUAAAGCGCGCGUAGGCGGUUCGUUAAGUCUGAUGUGAAAGCCCCCGGCUCAACCGGGGAGGGUCAUUGGAAACUGGCGGACUUGAGUGCAGAAGAGGAGAGUGGAAUUCCAUGUGUAGCGGUGAAAUGCGCAGAGAUAUGGAGGAACACCAGUGGCGAAGGCGGCUCUCUGGUCUGCAACUGACGCUGAGGUGCGAAAGCGUGGGGAUCAAACAGGAUUAGAUACCCUGGUAGUCCACGCCGUAAACGAUGAGUGCUAAGUGUUAGGGGGUUUCCGCCCCUUAGUGCUGCAGCUAACGCAUUUAGCACUCCGCCUGGGGAGUACGGCCGCAAGGUUUGAAACUCAAAG
rnacentral:rRNA from 1 species